CCUACGGGUGGCAGCAGUGAGGAAUAUUGGUCAAUGGUCGGGAGCCUGAACCAGCCAAGCCGCGUGAGGGAGGAAGGUCCUGCGUAUUGUAAACCUCUUUUGUCAGGGAAUAAAGACUGGCACGCGUCCCCGGAUGAGUGUACCUUACGAAACAGCAUCGGCUAACUCCGUUCCAGCGGCCGCGGUAAUACGGAGGGUGCGAGCGUUGUCCGGAAUUACUGGGUGAAAGGGGAGCGUAGGCGGGGAUUAAAGUUCGGGGUUAAAUCUACCGGCUAAACUGGUAGUCGCACUUGAAACUGGAGCUCUUGAGUGUAGUAGAGGCAGGCGGAAUUCGUGGUGUAGCGGUGAAAUGCGUAGAUAUCAGGAAGAACACCAAUGGCGAAGGCAGCCUGCUGGGCUUUGACUGACGCUGAGGCUCGAAAGUGUGGGGAGCAAACAGGAUUAGAUACCCCUGUAGUC
rnacentral:rRNA from 1 species